CACAGGUUUGGUCCCAGCCUUUCUAUUGGUUAUUAGUAAAAUUACACAUGCAAGUAUCCGCACUCCAGUGAGAAUGCCCUCUAAAUCCCCACUUAACGAUUAAAAGGAGUAGGUAUCAAGCACACUAAACAGUAGCUAACGACACCUUGCUUAGCCACACCCCCACGGGAGACAGCAGUGAUAAAAAUUAAGCUAUAAACGAAAGUUUGACUAAGUUACACUAUAUUAGGGUUGGUAAAUUUCGUGCCAGCCACCGCGGCCAUACGAUUAACCCAAAUAAAUAGAACCUCGGCGUAAAGCGUGUCAAAGACAUAGACCUGCAAAAUAAAGUUAAAAUAGAGUUAAGCUGUAAAAAGCCACAACCAACAUAAAAUAAACUACGAAAGUGACUUCAAUAUAUCUGACACACGAAAGCUAAGGCCCAAACUGGGAUUAGAUACCCCACUAUGCUUAGCCUUAAACCCAAAUAAUUUAUUACAACAAAACUAUUCGCCAGAGUACUACUAGCAACAGCCUGAAACUCAAAGGACUUGGCGGUGCUUUAUAUCCCCCUAGAGGAGCCUGUUCCAUAAUCGAUAAACCCCGAUAAACCUCACCAACCCUUGCCAAUACAGCCUAUAUACCGCCAUCUUCAGCAAACCCUAAAAAGGAACCAAAGUAAGCACAAGUAUAAAACAUAAAAACGUUAGGUCAAGGUGUAGCUUAUGGGAUGGAGAGAAAUGGGCUACAUUUUCUACCCAAAGAAUACCAACUACCCAUACGAAAGUCUUUAUGAAACUAAAGACUAAAGGAGGAUUUAGCAGUAAAUCAAGAAUAGAGAGCUUGAUUGAACCAGGCCAUGAAGCGCGCACACACCGCCCGUCACCCUCCUUAAAUAUUACAAACACAGCUCAACAUAUUCCUAUGUGUUAAACAUAUAAAAGGAGACAAGUCGUAACAAGGUAAGCAUACUGGAAAGUGUGCUUGGAUAAC
rnacentral:ncRNA from 1 species